UCUGCCGCGUCGGUUGUGCCAAUUCGCACGAGCGGAGAAACCUGGCAAGAACUAACGGUUCUUGCCGACGGCACAUAACGGUAGAUAACAGUGUUGUGUGGGUCGCAAACAAACUAUUAAUUUCACAAAACCCGGCCUAGUCACGCCCAAUCGAAAAGAUCAACAAACCACUGAAAACUAAGCACUGAAAACUGAGUAGUGAAUAUCGUAAACCAAAUGCUGAGUAUGGAGAUUUUAGGCAAAGUGCGUGCAAUUAUUCAACGCAUGACAACCAAUUAAUUGGCCAAAGAGAGCGAGAGCACAUAUGACCGGCGGCAACAAGUCGAUAUAGCUAUAGCUUUGGAAAAUAUAUACAUAGCUAUCUGGCGAGCCGGUUAACACCAGCAAGUGCAUCGGAAAACCAAUAACAACAAACACUUGACCGAUUUUCCAAGCGAUUCGGCGACGGCCUCUCGCUAAUCUCGCCCAGAAAACUCGGAUCACAACCGCCAUCGAUUUCGCGAUGAUUUAUGCAGCUAUUUCCUGCAGCUUAUGUGCAAUAUCCUGCGGAACUCGCAAAUAACUGCCAUCAAAAUGUUGCUAUCGCACUUGUUUGGUAUGUAAACCGCGGGUCGUAUAAACAAUAGUGUAAGCACCGACAAAGCACUCCACGAUUCGACUAUCAGGGGCACAUACUGACACUGUCACCCCGGAACGCAGUUGUUCUGCAUGGAGACAAACUGCGGGUGCCGGGGCCAACGAGACGCACAGGAAUCCUAAAGCGACCGCAUCGGCAUCAGCAUCGGCAAAGGGAUCGCUUUUGGUCCAAAACACGGCCAUCAUCAGCGGCAGAGGCCACGGUUGCCAGAAACAACCGCAGCUUCAACAUCGCCAGCCACAUCAACAACAUGGCCAUAAAGCAACAGCUCUGUAAUUCAUGGUCACAACUACCCAACGAACUGCUGAUA
rnacentral:sRNA from 1 species